rnacentral:rRNA from 1 species
AUUGAACGCUGGCGGCAUGCCUUACACAUGCAAGUCGAACGGCAGCACGGGAGCAAUCCUGGUGGCGAGUGGCGAACGGGUGAGUAAUAUAUCGGAACGUGCCCAGUCGUGGGGGAUAACGCAGCGAAAGCUGUGCUAAUACCGCAUACGAUCUAAGGAUGAAAGCGGGGGAUCGCAAGACCUCGCGCGAUUGGAGCGGCCGAUAUCAGAUUAGCUAGUUGGUGGGGUAAAGGCCCACCAAGGCGACGAUCUGUAGCUGGUCUGAGAGGACGACCAGCCACGCUGGAACUGAGACACGGUCCAGACUCGUACGGGAGGCAGCAGUGGGGAAUUUUGGACAAUGGGCGCAAGCCUGAUCCAGCAAUGCCGCGUGCAGGAUGAAGGCCUUCGGGUUGUAAACUGCUUUUGUACGGAACGAAACGGCCCUUUCUAAUACAGGGGGCUAAUGACGGUACCGUAAGAAUAAGCACCGGCUAACUACGUGCCAGCCGCCGCUGUAAGAC